GAAGAUGUGCCUUCUGAUAUAAUGAACAUAGUUCAGGGGAUUAGUCGUAGAACUUCUAAAGGGCUUGCAAACCAGAGCCAGGCUGAUAAGUCUUCAAGAGAAAAAGAAAAUGCAGCCGGCUUGAGAGUCAAAAAGAUCAUGAGGAGAGCUACAGAAGACAAUGAAUCAUCUGUUGUUGUUCAAAAACUUAGAACAGAAAUAAGAGAAGCUGUGCGUAAUAAUGCAGAUAUUGGGGAACACCUUUUUGAUCCAAAGCUUCUUACUGCAUUCCGUACUGCCGUAGCAGAACGUACAACUGAAGUUGUUGAGAAAUUACCCCCUUCUGCUCUGAAGGCAAAGAAGUCUAUACUGCAGAAAGGUAAAAUUCGUGAGAAUCUGACCAAGAAAAUAUAUGGAAAUUCUAAUGGUAGGCGAAGACGUGCAUGGGAUCGGGACUGUGAAGUUGAAUUUUGGAAGCAUCGCUGCACAAAGCCCGAAAAGAUUGCAACUUUGAAGUCAGUUCUUAACCUCCUGAGAAAGAACCCAGAAGGCUCAGAAAUGGAGCAUGUGUCCGAGAGUCGGGCAACAAAUCCCAUUCUCUCCAGAUUGUAUUUAGCAGAUACAUCUGUUUUUCCAAGAAAGGACAAUAUAAAACCUCUCUCAGCUCUUACAGUUACAAAUAAUUCUGAACAGAAUAAAGGACAGCUCAAUUCAAUGGAAAAAGGUCAGAAUCCAUCUCUUGAUGAUUGUUCACAUAAAAGAAAAGAAGCAAAUAAAGUUUCUUCAAAGUUUGCUGUUCCUUCAGUUCAUGAUAAUGGGUCUAAGGAUAAAGUUCCAAAUUCAAAGGGUAAAGCUGCUUCUAGCAAACCACAUCCAAACAAAGCCCCACAGGGAAGCUUGCGGGCUUGUUUAGGUGGUUCUAAAGUCAAUUCACAUAAGGGAACAGAUGUUCAAUCUGAUGAUAAAAAAAUUGACAAAAGAAAAUGGGCUAUGGAGGUACUUGCAAGAAAAAAGGCUGCUUCACUUACGAAUACAAUGCAAGGAGAACAAGAAGACAAUGCUAUACUUAAAGGAAAUUACCCCUUACUAGUAUGCAUUUUACUUUCUCCUUAAUAGAUGUAGAUGUUUGAUUUAGUAAAUACAUUCUGCAAAUUGAUGUUAAUACAUGCUUUUUACCUUUUCCUGGCUUAUGUGAGCAGGCUCAACUCCCAAUAAACAUGAGACCAGUAUUGGCACCCAGUCGCCAUAAUAAAAUUCCCAUAUCAGUUAGGCAGGUAAGUAAUGCUUGUGCAUGACCAGGCGUCGCCGAUGAUAUGCAUCCUUAAGUCAUGCUUUACUGCUUUAGGUUGCUUUUUAUGGAAAAAGGAAAAGUAGAGGGCCCAGAAUAGCUGACCUUCUGCUUUAACUUAAAAUAACAAUUAGAAAGAGAGACCACAUGUUAGUAGGCCACCUUAUUCAUUCACGAGUCUACUGUUGCUUAAACACCACCUACAUCAUCAGCAAUGCCAUGCUUAUCCACAAUUCUAGCUUUUCUAUCACUAAGACUUGUGUUGCCACUGGUUGCUGACCGUUCCUCUCCCAAUCUCUUUAAUAUUAUCGAAUUCAGAUCAGGGAUAGAAUUGGCAAAUUCUGAAUAAUUUGGUCAUUACUUAAAUUACUGGAGAAUCAGGCUAACUCCUGCAUAUAACUUUUAAGCUCAAUGGAAAUAGUUUCCAUACCCUUCCAGACUAAGUAUGAA
rnacentral:lncRNA from 1 species